rnacentral:misc_RNA from 1 species
CGGCAGCACAGGGCAUCUGUAAAAUCUUCUUUUUUAAAGGAAAAAAAAAAGGAUGACUGAUUGAAUUGCAUUAGGGAAUUAACAGCGUUAAUGGGUCAAUCAACCCCACGGGAACCAGUAAGUUUACAGGAAAUCAAAACCGGCCAGAACAAGAUUAACAAGAUGGCCUCAAAUUAGAGGAUUAAAAAUAGUAAAAAAAUAUCUGAAAAGUCAAAAGCAUAAACAGUUAAUGAGAACCACAUUUUGUUCCACAACAGCAGAAUGCACGCUAUGCAGCUGCACAAAACAAAUGCUACAUAUCAAUUUGACACGUUACAAAUCAACCAACCAGAAUGAAGAUGAAAUGUAAUUCAAUUUUCCAUUAUACGUAGAAAUGAGACCAUCAGAGUUCAUGCAGGAAGGCAGAAGCAUUCCAUGUAUUCUAUUAAACAUUAUUUUCCGCAUAUGAACGUAUUUGGGUGUGCUUUCAUGCUUCUGUCAAAUUAUAUUGUUCAUUUUCACUUUUUUCAAAGAAGACAUCAAACAGAGGUUUCAAUUUCACACUCAAUAAAUACCCCACACAACUAGAAAGCCGCCCAUCCCGAUGCAGUUGUCUUUGCUGAACCUGAUGUUGCUGAAGGAAGAUUCCUCUGCAAUCACCAACGGCAAAUGAGCUAUAACAAAAGAUGCAUCUACGAAAGAAAGCUCUCAACAAAGGCUAGCCAAACAUAUUUAGUUAAAGUAGGGGCAAGCCUGGAUAAAUCAUAAUAUCCAAACACCGUGCAUCCAGAGUCACAAAAAAAGGCAGCUACACACAAUCACAGCAAAUUAAUAUGCUUCCAUAACUUAGUGAAAGGACCAGCAUCAAAGAAAGGAUAUGAUCAACAGCUAAUGUGACCUAGCACUUCAAUCACAUAUCUCAUUGUCCUUGCUCAAUAAUGGAGCACAAGGCAGACAUUAGCAAUGCAACACAAAAGAUUGAUGGUUUUUCCAAAACUAUUAAAAAUAUAUCGAUGCUUAUGCUCUCAUGCAGUGUGGAUACGGGCAAACAUUAGCAGCUACAAGGAAAGAGCCAAAGAGGCUUACCUCAAGUGGAGAAAGAUCUGAUAAAGGAUCCAUAGAACGUUUUGUAUUUUCUUUAGGUGAUUUGAUACCAACACCAUGAUUAACAGCAGUCAUUCGUGCCGCAGCUGGAUCAUUUGGAGGGGGUGGGAGUGGAGACCUAAUUUUUACUGCCCCACUUGGUGGCGGGGCAAUCCCUAAAGGUUUAGACUUUCCAGUUCCAGAAUGACCCCCUGAUAGUCCUGCAGUUGAAAGCAUUCCAGUUCCACUAGAUGGUUUAUGCUUCACAUUUAUUCGAAUGGUUUCACCUUCCUAUAAUAAUCCAAUAUUUCAACAUAGUGUCCGUUAAUUUCAUCCAAAAUUAGAUUAAUUAGAACUUUAAACCCAUAUAAAUCAACUAAGAAAAUAUUGCAGAGCGUCAAUCAAACCACAUAAACAGCAAAAAUAACGAAAAUUCCAACAACAAGAGCAGUGAAAAUACAGAUUCAUAGUAAAGAUGAGUUCAUAACCAAUGCAAAAAUGUCAGGAAUACAGAAUUCCAGACAACCCACCCGAUAAGUCAUAAAUAUCAUCAACCAGCUAUUCCAGCUUACAAGCAUUGCUCUAUUCUGAGUACACUAAAUCUCAAAACAGAAAAAAGAAGAAAAAUUUUUCAUACCUUCAAUCUGUGAUUUACAGCAGGAUGUAUAUCUAUGUGAGUAUCGCUCUCGCUCGUCUCCCCAACCUCCUUCUCGUGUUCUCUCCUCACGUAUUUCUCAUGAUCCGAUAACGCCACAUUGAAAUCAAAUGCCUCAUUUCUCUCUGCAAACCCUAGCCCGAUAAAUGCGUGCUUCCCUCCUCCGUCCUCGAUCUUAAGUACGAAAUACCGAGAAGAGUCAAGCACCGUCUCUACCGAGGUCUCGCGCUGACCCGGUUGUACGAAACAAGCUGCGAACAGCUCGCCUGAGUUGGGAUCCUCCAACCGGAUCUCACAUCUGUCCUUGCAAGAAACGACCCGAAGCCUACCGGACCAGAUCUUAUCGGACUGCAACCACUCCCCGCAUUUGUAGCCGCCGGAGGUAGAGCGGGGAGGAAUUUUGUAGACGGAAACCUCGCGUACGACCAGGAGAGUGUGCUCCAUGGAUUCCUCAUCCUCCUCAAAUGACAUCGUUUUGGAGGGUUCUUUUGAAGGACUGUGAAGGUAAUGUGGGGAGAUAUUGGGCUUAAAUUUUGUAAGGGGAUAAUUCUUCCGAGAUCUGUGAGGUGCAGGGAUUGUAUCAACAGGAGAGAUAGAUUUGCAGAGACGUAACUUCGAAGAGUGAUUGAUUGGUCAACUGUAAUGAGACGGCAGAGAGGCACAGAGAGAGAGAGGUCUCAGCUUAAUUACCAAUUUGCCCUUUGUCUCCUUCACGCGCUCUUCCUUCUCCAUUGGCCCAAUUCACAAUUUGGCUGGGCUGAGCUGGGCUGGGCUGGCUAAGCCUUUCACCCUAUAAAAUGCAAAGUUAUAAACCCUAACCCCUUCCAGCGUUAUCGUCUUUGCAGAGAGAGGUUGAAAUCUUUAGCUUCAUUCAUUGUUGUUCUUAGGUAGGUGGUGGACCUGGUGGUGAUUGAUUAGGUUUUUCUGGCUAUCGAACUUGAUAUUAGGGUUCUAACAUUGUGGAUGCUGACAUUUGUUUUAACC